rnacentral:misc_RNA from 1 species
CAAAAGAAUCAUCUUGAAGCUUUAGAAUAACAUGCUGCAAUUGUAGAUGUGUCCGUAUGAUAGGGAACCAAGUCUUAGGUGUCAAAAAACUUCUUAGUAUUAAGUCAAUGGUAGUCAAGGUGAGGCCACUAUGUUCAGCAAUAGUAAUGCAAUUGCAUAAAAUAGGCAAUAGUCCUAGGCAAACAUUGGAAAUCUCUGCAAAGCCUUCAGAUUCCUUGUCUGGAGUUUUAUUGGACUCCACUGCAAAGAGAAGCAGCAUAAGCAAGACCUUCAAUGUUUUGUUAACCCCACUAACGGAUGACCGGAGGCCACUCAGCAUUUUGA